GUCCCCGCCCGCCUCCGCCCGGCCCUGGGGGGGAGCGGGGCUAUCGGGGCGGGCAGCGCCGGGCCCCGGGCAGGAAUGUCCCUGCGCGCUCCGAUAAUGGUAUUUAUAGCGCGGCGCCCGGCGGCUCCGCUCCCCCCGCCCCGCUCCGCGCCCGCACCCGCCGCCCUUCUCCCUCCCGCAACCGCCGCCGCCCCGCGCAGCCACCGGCCACACGGCUGUGGGACACCGGGACCAUGACCUCUGAGAAUGACUACGACCACCUGGAGCUGCAGCAGUCCUACAGCCACUGGGAUGCCUCCGACGAUGAGUUGGACAACGACAACAGCUCAGCACGGCUCUUUGAGCGCUCCCGCAUCAAAGCGCUGGCAGAUGAGCGGGAGGCGGUGCAGAAGAAGACCUUCACCAAGUGGGUGAACCUGCACUUGGCUUGCGUCACCUGCCGCAUCUCAGACCUCUACCUGGACCUCCGGGAUGGGCGGAUGCUCAUCAAGCUGCUGGAGGUGCUGUCCAAAGAGAUGCUGCCCAAGCCCACCAAGGGCCGGAUGCGCAUCCACUGCCUGGAGAACGUGGACAAGGCACUGCAGUUCCUGAAGGAGAAGCAGGUGCACCUGGAGAACAUGGGCUCCCACGACAUCGUGGACGGCAACCACCGCCUCAUCCUCGGCCUCAUCUGGACCAUCAUUCUCCGCUUCCAGGUGCAAGAUGUCAUCAAGGAGAUGAAGGAGGGCCCGGCGACGCGCUCCCCCAGGGAUGCACUGCUGCUCUGGUGCCAGAUGAAGACGGCAGGCUACCCCCACGUGAAUGUCACCAACUUCACCUCCAGCUGGAAGGAUGGACUGGCCUUCAACGCCCUCAUCCACAAGCACAGGCCUGAGCUGUUUGACUUCAAAACUCUGACCAAGUCCAAUGCCCGGCACAACCUGGAGCAUGCAUUCAGCAUGGCCGAGCGGCACCUGGGCAUCACCCCGCUCCUCGACCCCGAAGAUGUGUUCACAGAGAACCCCGAUGAGAAGUCCAUCAUCACCUACGUGGUGGCUUUCUACCACUACUUCUCCGAGAUGAAGAAACUGGAGGUGAAGGGCAGGCGGCUGGGCAAGGUCAUUGAGCAUGCCAAGGAGACCAAGAGGAUGAUUGAGGGCUACGGGGGGCUGGCCUCCAACCUGCUCACCUGGAUCGAGCAGACCAUCAUCUCCCUCAACAGCCGCAGCUUCGCCAACUCGCUGGCAGGUGUGCAGCACCAGCUGCAAGCCUUCAGCACCUACCGCACAGUGGAGAAGCCCCCCAAGUUUCAGGAGAAGGGCAACCUGGAGGUGCUGCUCUUCACCAUCCAGUCGCGGAUGCGAGCCAACAACCAGCGCGUCUACACACCACAAGAGGGGCGUCUGGUCUGUGAUAUCAACCGGGCAUGGGAGCAGCUGGAGAAAGCAGAGCAUGAGCGGGAGUUGGCUCUGCGCAAUGAGCUCAUCCGGCAGGAGAAGCUGGAGCAGCUGGCGCGGCGCUUUGACCGCAAAGCAGCCAUGCGGGAGACCUGGCUGAGUGAGAACCAACGCCUGGUGGCACAGCAGGAGAACUUUGGCCACGACCUGACAGCCGUGGAGGCGGCCAAGAAGAAACACGAGGCCAUCGAGACGGACACGGCUGCCUACAAGGAGCGGGUGCAGGCCAUUGACGCAGUGGCGAAGGAGCUGGAGAGGGAGGGCUACCACGACAUCAAACGCAUCAAGGCGCGCAAGGACAACAUCCUGCGGCUCUGGGAGCAGCUCCAGGAGCUGCUGCACAACCGGCGCCAGCGCCUUGAGAUGAACCUCACCCUGCAGCACCUCUUCCAGGAGAUGCUGCACAGCAUCAACUGGAUGGAUGAGGUCAAGGUGCAACUGGCCUCAUCCGAAUCUGGGAAGCACCUCCUUGAAGUAGAGGAGCUGCUGGAGACCCACCGGCUGCUGGAGGGUGACAUGGCCCUGCAGGCAGAGAAGGUGCGGGCCGUCAGCGCUGCUGCCCUCCGAUUUGCCGACGCUGAGGGCUACCGCCCCUGCGACCCCAGAGUGAUCCGAGACCGCGUGAACCACCUGGAGAUGUGCCGGCGGGAGCUGCAGGUGCUGGUGGCAAGGCGCAAAGCCCUGCUGGAGCAGUCCCGGGCAGUGUGGCAGUGUUUGCGGGAGCUGGACGAGACAGAGAGCUGGAUCAAGGAACAGGAACAGAUCUACUCAGCACUGGACUACGGGAAAGACCUGGCGGGUGUGCUGCUGCUGCGACGCCGUCACACUGCACUGGAGGCAGAGCUGGAGGCACGGGGAGCCCGGCUGGAACAGGCACUAGUGAUGGCUGAGCAGCUGGCGGCGGCAGGGCGUGAGGCCGGGCGGCUGCGGGACCGGGCAGCCGCCGUGCGGGUACUGUGGGACCAGCUGCAGGAGCUGGUGGCCUUCCGCCGCCGUGGGCUGCGGGAGGCCGAGGGCUUCUUCCAGUUCCAGGCGGAAGCUGAAGAGCUGGCAGAGGUUCUGGCGGAGGCUCGGCAGCGAGCGGCCAGCGAGGAGCUGGGUCAUGACGAAGUCCACACACGGGCCCUGCUGCGGGAGCACCAGGAGCUGCUGGAUGAGCUGGCGGCUGCCCAGCAGCUCCUGGAGCGCUUGGGCCUCCAAGCAGAGGGCUUCCCACCAGAGCUGCGGGCUGGCCCCGAGGCACAGAGCCGGCUGGCGGCGCUGCGGGAGCUGCACCACGAGGUGAGCACGCUGGCCGAGGUGCGUGGCCGGCGGUUGCGGGAUGCCCUCGACCUCUACACUGUUUUCGGAGAGAGCGAAGCGUGCCAGCUCUGGAUGAGCGCCAAAGAGCGAUGGCUGGAGAAGCUGGAGGUGCCCAACACGCUGGAGGACCUGGACGUGGUGAAGCACAGGCUGGAUGGGCUGGAGCAGAAGAUGGCUGACGUGGCUCCCCAAAUCAACGCUGUCAACCGCUCAGCUGACGGUCUCCUGGAGAGCGGCCACCCGCGCAGCCCACAGGUCCGGCAGUGCCAGCAGCAGCUCAAUGAGCGGUGGGACCGUUUUCGGGAGCUGGUGUCCCAGUGGCGUGCGGCGGUGGGCUCGGCGCUCAACCUGCUCAACUUCCAACUGGAGUGUGAGGAGACGCGCGCCUGGCUACUGAGCAAGACGCGGGUGGUGGAGUCCACGCGGGAGCUCGGCCGUGACCUGGCUGGCGUCCUGGCCACCCAGCGCAAGCUGUACGGCAUCGAACGUGAGCUGGCGGCUGCUGAGAGCCGCCUGGAAGCCCUGCGUCCGCAAGCUGCCCUCCUGGCCCAGGAGCGCCCCGAGUUGGCCGAGGACAUGGCAGGGCGGCUGGCGGGGGCACAGGACGCCAUGGACGGGCUGCAAGGCGCCCUGAGGGACCGAGCGGCUGCACUGGGAGAAGUGGGGCAGCUGCAGAGCUUCCUGCAGGACCUGGAUGACUUCCAAGCGUGGCUCUUCGGGGCACAGAAAGCCGUGGCGGCCACCGACGAGGUGCCGGCUUCCGUGGGUGAGGCAGAAGAGCUGCUGCGGAAGCACGCGGCCGCCCAUGAGGAUGCUGAGGGGCAUGCGGCCGCCUUCGCAGCGCUGCUGGAGGCGGGUGAGAGGUUGACAAGCAGCCAGGAGGACCCCGAGUACGAGCAGCUGCGGGAGCGGCUGCGGGGUGUGGAGGCGGGCUGGGGAGCCCUGCACAAGAUGUGGGAUGCCCGGCAGCGCUUCCUUGCCCAGUGUUUGGGCUUCCAGGAGUUCCUGCGCGACGCCAAGCAGGCUGAGAUUCUCCUCACCAACCAGGAGUACACACUGGCCCACCUGGAGCUACCCCCAACGCUGGAGGGUUCCACGGCUGCUCUGCGCCGCUUCGAGGACUUCCAUGCCGCCAUGGAGAGCAGCAGUGAGAAAGUCCCUAGCGUGGUGACCACUGGCUCCAAGCUCGUGGCAGAGGGCAACAUCUUCUCUGAGAAGAUCAGCGAGAAGAACCAGGCCCUGCAGGAGCGGCACCAGGCGAAUGUGGCCAAGGCGCAGGAGGCGGCGGGCUUGCUGCAGGACAACCACAAGCUGCAGAGCUUCCUGCAGAGCUGCCGGGAGCUCGCUGCGUGGGUGGAUGAGAAGAUGCUGACAGCGCAGGAUGCAUCCUACGGGGAUGCACGUGGUCUGCAUGGCAAGUGGCAGAAGCACCAGGCCUUUAUGGCAGAGCUGGCGGCCAACGAGGCGUGGCUGGAGAAGAUCAAAGCGGAGGGCAUGGAGCUGGCGAGCUGCAAACCGCAGUACGGUGCAGUGGUGGGCCGGCGGCUGGACGAGCUGCAGGCGCUGUGGAAUGGGCUGCACGAUGCCGCCAAGGAGAAGGGCCAGCAGCUCUUUGAGGCCAACCGCACUGAGCUGUACGCCCAGAGCUACAGUGACCUGGACCGGUGGCUGGAGCAGGCAGAGGGCGAGCUGCGCACCAUGGAGCGCGCCAAGGACCUCACCGGGGCCAACCUACAGCUCAAGAAGCUGACGCGGCUGGAGGAGCAGGUGGCGGCGCGACAGGAGGAGCUGGCGGAGCUGGCAGCACCGCUUGCUGGGGUCGCACCAGAGCCCGACGGGCAGGAGGAGAGGCUCCAGCAGCGAUUCCUUGACCUGCUGGAACCACUGGGGAAGAGGAGGAAGGAGCUGGAAACCUCCAAGGCGAUGUACCAGCUGGGGAGGGAUCUGGAGGACGAGAUGUUAUGGGUGCAGGAGAGGAUGCCGUGGGCCAGGUCUACAGAGCACGGCACUGACCUCCAGAGCGUGCAGCGCCUGGCCAAGAGGAAUGAGACCCUACAGAAGGAGCUGCAGGGCCAUGCCCCACGCCUGACCGAGGUGCUGGAGCGCGGUGAGGCAGCUGCCGAGGGACCCUGCCCGGAGCUGGCGGAGAGGGCACGGGAGCUGCGGGCACAAUGGGAGGCGCUGAGGGAAGAAGCGGCCGCACGGCAGCGGAGGCUGCAUGAGGCCAGCGAGGCCCAGCAGUACUACCUGGAUGCUGGCGAGGCCGAGGCGUGGGUCAGCGAGCAGGAGCUCUUCAUGGGAGAUGAGGAGAAGCCGAAGGACGAGGAAAGUGGUUUGGUGAUGCUGAAGAGACUCGUGAGGCAGCAGCGCUCCAUCGAGGACUAUGGGCAAACCAUCAAGGAGCUGGCGGGGAGGGCUCAGCAGCUUCUCUCUGCUGGCCACCCUGAGGGGGAGCAGAUCAUCCGGCUGCAGGGCCAGGUGGACAAGUAUUACGCGGGGCUGAAGGAGGCGGCCGAGGAGCGCCGGCGGCGCCUGGAGAACAUGCGCUGCCUCUUCCAGCUGAAGCGUGAGGUGGAGGACCUGGAGCAGUGGAUUGCUGAGCGUGACGUGGCAGCCUCCUCCCAGGAGCUGGGGCAGGACCUGGACCACGUCACGCUGCUGAGGGAGAGGUUUCGGGAGUUUGCACGGGAAACAGGCAGCGUAGGGCAGGAACGCGUGGACCAAGUCAACCUGACCAUCGAGAACCUCAUCGAUGCGGGGCACGCCGAGGCCGCCACCAUGGCUGAGUGGAAGGACGGACUGAACGAGAGCUGGGCUGACCUCCUGGAGCUGAUUGACACACGUGUGCAAUUGCUGGCCGCCUCCUACGAUCUGCACAAGUACUUCUAUGAUGGCUCCGAGCUGCUGGCCCUCAUUGCUGCCCGCCACCAGGAGCUGCCCCAGGACCUGGGCAGUGACUCGGGUUCGUUGAAAGCUUUCCACCGCAUGCACAGCGCCUUCAAGUGCAACCUCCUCCUGCUGGCGAAGCAGGUGCAGCAGUUUCAAGAGGUGGCGGCACGCCUGCAAACUGCCUAUGCCGGGGAGAAAGCAGUCAGCAUCCAGCAGCAGGAGCAGGAGGUGGCACAGGCACUGCAGGCGCUGCUGAAGGCGUGCAGCGGACGCCGGGCGCAGAUGGUGGACACAGCCAACAAGUUCCGCUUCUUCAGUAUGGCACGUGACCUGCUCUCCUGGAUGGAGAGCAUCACACGGCAGAUCCAGACCCAGGAGAAACCCAGGGACGUUUCCUCAGUGGAGCUGCUCAUGAAGUACCACCAAGGCAUCCGCGCCGAGAUAGACGCCCGCGCCGAGAGCUUUGCUAACUGCAUUGAACUAGGCAAGAAGCUGCUGCAGUGCAAACACCGGGAGUCACCUGAGAUCGAGGCCAAGCUGAUGGAGCUGAAGGACAAGUGGAAGGCGAUGAGGGAGAUGUGGCAGCAGCACUGGGAACGGCUGCGGCUGCUGCUGGAGGUGUGCCAGUUCUCCCGGGAUGCCUCGGUGGCCGAGUCAUGGCUGAUAGCUCAGGAGCCCUACCUGGCCAGCAGCGACUACGGGCAGACGGUGGACGCGGUGGAGAAGCUGCUCAAGCGGCACGAAGCCUUCGAGAAGUCCACAGCCACGUGGGAGGAGCGCAUCGCUGCCCUGAGGAAGCUGACGACGCUGGAGCUCAUGGGCGGGCAGACGCUGCGGGGGGAGGACGUGGUACACGACACUGCUCCCGAGCAUCACCUGGAUCUGGAUGCAGAGCUGGAGGCAGGGUCUGAGGAGGAGGAGGAGAAGAAGAGGAAGGGGGUGGUCCCUCAGGAAGCCUCUCCGCCUGCUGUCGAUGGACCUGAGCCGCAGGAACAGACACAACCCACACCCCCAGCCCUUUUGGCUGUUGUUUGCAUUGAAUUGAAUAAAUUUUGAAUGACCCCAAAUCAUUGGGCAGGCGCAAGGGCAGCACCUUUGCCACAGUGCAUCCCCGUGGCUUGGAGCCCAGGGUGGGGCUCGGGGUGGUUGGCAGAUGCUGACACCCACGGGUGCACAGGGCAGAGACAGAGCCAAACACCCUGGAGCAGGCAGAUCUCCUGGGAGAAACCCACAAGUCACAGGGACACCGUGUGGCCACCACCGUGUGGCACCCAGCUGUCCAAGCUGGCUCUGUCCUGGCAUGGAAGGGACAGCUGGCUUCUUGGGGACAAGGGCACGUGGUGAUGGUGCUGCUGGUUGGAUGUGCCUGCGUCAGCUCCCUCCCUUGUGUCCUUGGAGCGUGGUCACCUCAUGAGGAUGUCACCCUGUGGGGCAUCAUCAACCCCUGGAGGCAUCGCCAACCUCUGGGGAUGUCACCCUGCAAGAUGUCAUCACCCUGUGCCCCAUCGUCGCUCCAUGGGGAUGUCAUCCUAUGGAACACUGUAACCCCAUGGGGACGUCACCCUGGAAGACAUCACCCUAUGGAACAUCAUCAUCCCCAGGGGCUUCAUCACCCCGUGGGGACAUCACCCUGCAAGACGCCAUCACCUUAUGGAACAUCAUCACCCCAAAGGGCAUCAUCGCUCGAUGGGGACAUCACCCUGUGGGACAUCAUCACUCCAAAAGGCAUCAGCACCCCACAGGGCACUGCCACCCUCUGGCAUUGUCACCCCGUGUGCUGCCACCUUGUCUUCGCUGCCACUCUCUCUGCUCCUUGCUGCCUGCUUGGGGACAGGACUUGCUUUCUGGUUGCUUUGCCUGCUUGGGGACAAUAACCCCUUCUGCCUCUCCUGCCCGCCUGGGGACAUCUUCUGGCUCCUUGGGGACAAGAUCACUUUCCUGGGGACAGGGAUCCCCACGUUCCCACUGGGGGACUUCUGCUGCUUGGGGGCAACUUCUGGCUCCUUGGGAAGAGAGUCUGCCCGUUUUGGGACGAGAUUGCUUCCUGCAAGCUUGGGGACAUGAUCUUUCUCUGCCUGCCUCCUUGGGGACACAGUUACAUGGGGACAGCCUCCUUUCUCCUGUCCCCUUUGCUGGGACACACCACAGGCACUCCACAUGGCUCACUGCUGCCAUCUCCAGCAAAGGGCUGAGACCAUCGCCAUGUGAAGGAUAUGACGACCAUGGCAUUGCCAUGCUCCGGAUCCAGCCAUGCCUCUUCCCAAAGCCUCACCCCGAGCAUUCCAUCCACCGCGUGCCACUGUCCCCAAGCGCUGGCACCAUAUUCAGGGGUCCCGUGCCGUGGUGUCUCCCAAGGGCUGCCAGCUCCCACGUGUCACCAGGCAUGAGGUGGCCAUCCCCAACACUGCUGACGGUGCCCGAGGAGGAGCCCAUAGCACCGCGGGAGGAGGUGGCCACGUUGCCCGCCCAGCCUGCCCACGUUCAGCUGGAGG